AUUGAACGCUGGCGGCAGGCUUAACACAUGCAAGUCGAGCGGAGCGAGGGUGCUUGCACCUUAGCUUAGCGGCGGACGGGUGAGUAAUGCUUAGGAAUCUGCCUAUUAGUGGGGGACAACAUUCCGAAAGGAAUGCUAAUACCGCAUACGCCCUACGGGGGAAAGCAGGGGAUCUUCGGACCUUGCGCUAAUAGAUGAGCCUAAGUCGGGUUAGCUAGUUGGUGGGGUAAGUGCCUACCAAGGCGACGCUCUGUAGCGGGUCUGAGAGGAUGAUCCGCCACACUGGGACUGAGACACGGCCCAGACUCCUACGGGAGGCAGCAGUGGGGAAUAUUGGACAAUGGGCGGAAGCCUGAUCCAGCCAUGCCGCGUGUGUGAAGAAGGCCUUUUGGUUGUAAAGCACUUUAAGCGAGGAGGAGGCUACUUAGAUUAAUACUCUGGGAUAGUGGACGUUACUCGCAGAAUAAGCACCGGCUAACUCUGUGCCAGCCGCCGCCGUAA
rnacentral:rRNA from 1 species